CCUACGGGAGGCAGCAGUGGGGGAUAUUGCACAAUGGGGGGAACCCUGAUGCAGCGACGCCGCGUGGGUGAAGAAGCGCCUCGGCACGUAAAGCCCUGUCAGCAGGGAAGAAAAUGACGGUACCUGAAGAAGAAGCGCCGGCUAACUCCGUGCCAGCAGCCGCGGUAAUACGUAGGGGGUAAGCGUUAUCCGGAUUUAUUGGGUUUAAAGGGUGCGUAGGCGGAAUGCCAAGUCAGCGGUAAAAUCGCGGGGCUCAACCUCGGUCCGCCUUUGAAACUGGCGUUCUUGAGUGAGCGAGACGUAUGCGGAAUGCGUGGUGUAGCGGUGAAAUGCAUAGAUAUCACGCAGAACUCCGAGUGCGAAGGCAGCAUACCGGCGCCCAACUGACGCUGAAGCACGAAAGCGUGGGUAUCGAACAGGAUUAGAUACCCGGGUAGUC
rnacentral:rRNA from 1 species